AUUGAACGCUGGCGGCAGGCCUAACACAUGCAAGUCGAGCGGUAGAGAGGUGCUUGCAUCUCUUGAGAGCGGCGGACGGGUGAGUAAUGCCUAGGAAUCUGCCUAGUGGUGGGGGAUAACGUUCGGAAACGGACGCUAAUACCGCAUACGUCCUACGGGAGAAAGCGGGGGAUCUUCGGACCUCGCGCCAUUAGAUGAGCCUAGGUCGGAUUAGCUAGUUGGUGAGGUAAUGGCUCACCAAGGCGACGAUCCGUAACUGGUCUGAGAGGAUGAUCAGUCACACUGGAACUGAGACACGGUCCAGACUCCUACGGGAGGCAGCAGUGGGGAAUAUUGGGACAAAUGGGCGAAAGCCUGAUCCAGCCAUGCCGCGUGUGUGAAGAAGGUACUUCGGAUUGU
rnacentral:rRNA from 1 species